CCUUCAAUGAUCACAGAGUCCAACUCUCAGACUGCUUUGGGGCUGAUCCAAAGUUAAAGCAUUUCCUUCGGGACAUUACCCAAAUGCCUCUUGAACACUGACAGCAUCAACCACCGCUCUAGGAAGCCUGUUCCAGUGUUUGACCACUCACGAGGUACAUGGCAUUACGGAACACGCUUCAGGCUCCUCAAUCAACAGAACAGUCAAAGCGAAGAGUGUAAAAGCAGAGAGAUGGCCACGAUUUUGGUAAAGUUGCAACAGGUUUUAAGUACUAGAAGGCUACAACAAGGCUCCCUGGAGCCUUUUCUUCUCCAGGCUGAACAAGUCCAUCUCCCUCAACCUGUCUUUGUAGAAGAGGUGCUCCAGCCUUCAGAUCAUCUCCAUGGCCCUCCUCUGGAUCCACUCCAACAGUCCUAUGACUUUCUCGUGCUGGCAGCCUCAAGUCUGGACACAGUACUGUAGAUGGAACCUCAGGAGGUCAGCGUAGAGGGGACAAUCACCUCCCUCUCCCUGCUGGCGAGGGGACAAUCACCUCCCUCUCCCUGCUGGCCUCCCUCUGUUAAUGCAGCCCAGGAUACUGUUGGCCUUCUGAGCUGCAAAAGCACACUAUUGGCUCACAUUCUACUUUCUGUCUAUCAGGACAGCCAAGUCCUUCUCCACAGGGCUGUUCUCAAUGAGUUCAUCUCCGAGCCCGUUCUCACAUUUAGGAUUGCCCUGCCCAAGUAACACACGCUGCCCUUGGCCUUGUUGAACCUCAUUAGGUUCUCAUAUGCCCACUUUUCAAGUAUGUCCAGGUCCCUCUGGUUGGUGUCCCUCCCUUCUAUUGUGGCAACUGCACCACUCAGCUUGGUGUCAUCAGCACACUUGCUGGGGAUGCACUUUAUCC
ensembl:lncRNA